UCCACCGUUUGCUCGAUUCAGUUGCUAAUCGUUUGCCGGCCUUUUUGGAUGUCGAAAAUCAUUAACGUAGUGUUCGUUGUUGGCGUACGGUUGCGAUCGUCGUACACAAUUCGUCGUUGAUUUACGUGCGGUCGUUUUUUUCCAGCUACCUGGCUUAUUGUCGUUGCAGUCGCUGUCUUUUGUUUGCAAAGAAAAGCAGAAAUCGACAAGACAAGUCUGUAAGCCUGGCUACUUGCGGGCUGCAACAGAAGUGUUGGUAGACGCGGGUGUUUUUUACAUACAUACAUACAUUCACACAUAUGUAUGUGUGUGCGCGCGUAGAGUUCUUACACAAAAACCAAAAACGGACAAUAGAUUUUCAUGAUGGAUCGGCUACCUUUGGGUUUUUCGUAGGAGAAGAAGUGAAACUGUGUAAAAUUAAUGCAUGAAAUACAUACAUAUGCACAUUUUCAAAUAGUCUUAGCAACCACUGGAAUUAACGGAUAUUGAACGAAAGUAACAAAACAAUUAGCAAUCAUUUAAAAAAAAAAAUUAAAAAGUAAUUAAAACAAAAAUCAAAAAUAAAUAAAAAAUAAAAAUUUUAAAAGUGAAAUGUGGGCAAACCUCCCACAGUGCAAAAUGUUCGGGUAAAUAAAUAUGCUUUAAUAUGUAUUGCGAUAUGCCAUAUGAUUGCCAGUAACUAAAUAUGUAACAAAAAAAUUAAACAAAUAAUAAUUAGUGCAACUAAAGCUACGCCAUUGCACCAAACACACUUGCAACAAAGCAAAAAUCAAAUCGCUGAAAUCCUAAACUACGCAAAAAAAGCUAAUAAAACCAAGUUUAAAGUGAAAAAAUGUAAAAUAAACAAAAAAAAAGCUUAAUUUCUUAGAUAAUUGACAAAGCACAAGUGUUUUAUAAGCGGCAAGUGAGUGCGUACAUACAUACAUACAUACAGCUGGAAGACAGCCAGAAGUGCAAAGCGAAAAAAAAAAUAAAUAAAUAAAUAAUUAACAAAAAACAUAUUUCACUACAAAAAUUGCAACGCAGCAAAUCAAAUACGCACAUUGAGCCUCAAUAAAUAAAGCGACAAAAGAUUUCUUACAACAAAUUUACAACUUGUGCGCUGGUGUGUACAAAUAGUGAGUGCUAAAGUGUAUAUGCAACAAAGUGCCGCCGACGGCAACACACUACAUAUGGAUAUAAAGUGUUGGAUGAAGGCGAUGAGACAGAGGCAGGGGCAGACGCGGCCAACUGUCGCCGCCACACAGCCGCUGCUAAAAAUACAUACAAAUGCUGCGUCAUUACUUCGGCGCGCCAGCGAGAUGCUGUUUUUGUUGCUACUAAUAGUCGGCGACAGCAGAUUAACUGGAUUGCAGCAUGUUGCAGCGCUUAAGGGUGAGUUUUCUUUUCUUUCGUCACA